rnacentral:rRNA from 1 species
UACGUAGGUGGCAAGCGUUGUCCCGGAAUUAUUUGGGGCGUAAAGCGCGCGCAGGCGGUCUUUUUAAGUCUGAUGUGAAAGCCCACGGCUCAACCGUGGAAGGUCAUUGAAACUGAGAGACUUGAGUACAGAAGAGGAAAGCGGAAUUCCACGUGUAGCGGUGAAAUGCGUAGAGAUGUGGAGGAACACCAGUGGCGAAGGCGGCUUUCUGGUCUGUAACUGACGCUGAGGCGCGAAAGCGUGGGGAGCAAACAGG